GUAACAAGGUUUCCGUAGGUGAACCUGCGGAAGGAUCAUUACCUAGAGUUGUAGGCUUUGCCUGCUAUCUCUUACCCAUGUCUUUUGAGUACCUUCGUUUCCUCGGCGGGUCCGCCCGCCGAUUGGACAUAUUCAAACCCUUUGCAGUUGCAAUCAGCGUCUGAACAAACUUAAUAGUUACAACUUUCAACAACGGAUCUCUUGGUUCUGGCAUCGAUGAAGAACGCAGCGAAAUGCGAUAAGUAGUGUGAAUUGCAGAAUUCAGUGAAUCAUCGAAUCUUUGAACGCACAUUGCGCCCCUUGGUAUUCCAUGGGGCAUGCCUGUUCGAGCGUCAUUUGUACCUUCAAGCUUUGCUUGGUGUUGGGUGUUUGUCUCGCCUCUGCGCGCAGACUCGCCUCAAAACAAUUGGCAGCCGGCGUAUUGAUUUCGGAGCGCAGUACAUCUCGCGCUUUGCACUCAUAACGACGACGAUCCAAAAGUACAUUUUUACACUCUUGACCUCGGAUCAGGUAGGGAUACCCGCUGAACUUAAGCAUAUCAAUAA
rnacentral:misc_RNA from 1 species